UACGAAAGGGGCUAGCGUUGUUCGGAAUUACUGGGCGUAAAGCGCACGUAGGCGGCCUUGUAAGAUGGGGGUGAAAUCCCUGGGCUCAACCCAGGAACUGCCUUCAUGACUGCAAAGCUCGAGUAUGUGAGGGGUUGGCGGAAUUCCGAGUGUAGAGGUGAAAUUCGUAGAUAUUCGGAAGAACACCAGUGGCGAAGGCGGCCAACUGGCACAUUUCUGGCGCUGAGGUGCGAAACCGUGGGCCGCAAACAGG
rnacentral:rRNA from 1 species